rnacentral:sRNA from 1 species
AGAACAGAUUUGUCACUGAUGCUAAUGCAUGCUGCUCUGCAGGGGACUACUCUCCCUCGAAGCUCCCCAUAGCUGCUCUCAGUUUUAUGGAUCUGCUCUACCCAAAGCCUUGCAGAAGGGGCAGGGGAUGCCCUGGUUAACCCCUGCACAUAGCAAGGUGGAGAAGUUUUCAUGCAUAGCUGGGACAAAGAACACUGGAAAGAGAAAGAAAAACUUCCUGAGCUACUGCUAAGCCAGAAAAGCUCAGCUCUCAAAUGGACUAUCUCCUGAGACCUCACACAGCUGGGAACUGAUCUGCAAUACAGCAAAGCUUGAAAAGUGGUCUCAGCUUCAUAUCUACUGUCAGUGCUAAGGCAAACUUGAAAACAGAAGAAUUUUUUCAAGGCUUUGAAAUUUCUAUGCUUUCAGGCACCUGUUCACCGAAGUUGAGGCUGGUCACAACUCCGGCGGCCCAAGGAGCUGCUCGGUUCACCCACAGGGGAUGAGAGCUGCCUGCCUGCUGCUGCUUGGAGAGCCCCAGACAGUCGCUUGAAGAGGUGUGUGGAUGGCUCCUAGAUCUUGACUUGCU